AUUGAACGCUGGCGGCAGGCCUAACACAUGCAAGUCGAACGAGUGGCGGACGGGUGAGGAAUGUCUGGGAAACUGCCCGAUGGAGGGGGAUAACUACGGGAAACGGUAGCUAAUAACGCAUACCAUCGGAUGUGCCCAGAUGGGAUUAGCUGGUGGGUGAGGUAACGGCUCACCUAGGCGACGAUCCCUAGCUGGUCUGAGAGGAUGACCAGCCACACUGGAACUGAGACACGGUCCAGACUCCUACGGGAGGCAGCAGUGGGGAAUAUUGCACAAUGGGCGCAAGCCUGAUGCAGCCAUGCCGCGUGUAUGAAGAAGGCCUUCGGGUUGUAAAGUACUGUCAGCGGGGAAGCGUUACCCGCAGAAGAAGCACCGGCUAACUCCGUGCCAGCAGCCGCGGUAAUAC
rnacentral:rRNA from 1 species